rnacentral:misc_RNA from 1 species
GGCGCCAUCACCGCCCGAUCCCCCGGCAACAGCGCCUCCAACGCCACCGUCCUCCGAUUCAUCUCCGCCGUCCCUUACAACAUCAGCAUCUUCGCCGUCGACGCCCUCCUCGUCCCCUACGGCUUCGACCUCGCCGCGUCGGAAACACGACCCCCAGUCGGCGUCAACAUCACCAGAGUCCUCAUCGACGCAAGGGAUUUCAAUGUAAUGGCUUCAAUGCUAGAAGCAUCUGGUGUAGUAGAAGAAUUCGAGUCAGACGAGCAUGGAGCCGGCAUCACCGUCUUCGUCCCAACUGAUGAAGCUUUUGCCGGGCUCCCGGCGACGGAGCGGCUGCAGUCGCUGCCUGCGGACCAGAAGGCAGUUGUCCUGCGUUUCCAUGUCCUGCAUUCAUACUAUCCUCUGGGGUCGUUGGAGUCAAUUGUCAACCCGGUGCAGCCGACGGUGGCGACCGAUGACACCGGCGCCGGGAGGUUCACUCUCAAUAUCACGAGAUCCAACGGGUCCG